UACGUAGGGGGCAAGCGUUGCCCGGAAUCAUUGGGCGUAAAGCGCGUGUAGGCGGUCCGGUAAGUCCGCUGUGAAAGUCGGGGGCUCAACCCUCGGAUGCCGGUGGAUACUGUCGGGCUUGAGUACGGAAGAGGCGAGUGGAAUUCCUGGUGUAGCGGUGAAAUGCGCAGAUAUCAGGAGGAACACCAAUUGCGAAGGCAGCUCGCUGGGACGUUACUGACGCUGAGACGCGAAAGCGUGGGGAGCAAACAGG
rnacentral:rRNA from 1 species